AUACGGAGGGUGCAAGCGUUAUCCGGAAUCAUUGGGUUUAAAGGGUGCGCAGGCGGACCUGUCAGUCAGUGGUGAAAUCCCGGGGCUCAACCCCGGAACUGCCAUUGAUACUACAGGUCUUGAAUACGGUUGAAGUAGGCGGAAUGUAGCAUGUAGCGGUGAAAUGCAUAGAUAUGCUACAGAACACCGAUCGCGAAGGCAGCUUACUAAGCCGAUAUUGACGCUCAGGCACGAAAGCGUGGGUAGCGAACAGGAUUAGAAACCCCAGUAGUCC
rnacentral:rRNA from 1 species